CCUACGGGAGGCAGCAGUGGGGGAUAUUGCACAAUGGGGGGAACCCUGAUGCAGCGACGCCGCGUGGGUGAAGGAGUGCUUCGGAAUGUAAAGCUCUAUCUGCAGGGAAGAAGCAAGACGGUACCUGACUAAGAAGCACCGGCUAACCACGUGCCAGCAGCCGCGGUAAUACGUAGGGGGCGAGCGUUAUCCGGAUGCACUGGGUGUAAAGGGAGCGUAGACGGCCAAGCAAGGCAGGGGUGAAAGCCCGGGGCCCAACCCCGGGACUGCCCUUGGAACUGCAUGGCUGGAGUGCGGGAGGGGCAGGCGGAAUGCCUGGUGUAGCGGUGAAAUGCUUAGAUAUCAGAAGGAACACCGACGGCGAAGGCAGCCUGCUGGGCCGCUUCUGACGUUGAGGCACGAAAGCGUGGGGAGCGAACAGGAUUAGAUACCCGGGUAGUC
rnacentral:rRNA from 1 species